CUUGUAACAAGGGAAUUUAUGGAUGAUUUAAGAUGAGGUUGUGUACCCUGUUACGGUCAACCCUGUUCCAUCACCCUUGUAACAAGGGAAUUUAUGGAUGAUUUAAGAUGAGGUUGUGUACCCUGUUACGGUCAACCCUGUUCCAUCACCCUUGUAACAAGGGAAUUUAUGGAUGAUUUAAGAUGAGGUUGUGUACCCUGUUACGGUCAACCCUGUUCCAUCACCCUUGUAACAAGGGAAUUUAUGGAUGAUUUAAGAUGAGGUUGUGUACCCUGUUACGGUCAACCCUGUUCCAUCACCCUUGUAACAAGGGAAUUUAUGGAUGAUUUAAGAUGAGGUUGUGUACCCUGUUACGGUCAACCCUGUUCCAUCACCCUUGUAACAAGGGAAUUUAUGGAUGAUUUAAGAUGAGGUUGUGUACCCUGUUACGGUCAACCCUGUUCCAUCACCCUUGUAACAAGGGAAUUUAUGGAUGAUUUAAGAUGAGGUUGUGUACCCUGUUACGGUCAACCCUGUUCCAUCACCCUUGUAACAAGGGAAUUUAUGGAUGAUUUAAGAUGAGGUUGUGUACCCUGUUACGGUCAACCCUGUUCCAUCACCCUUGUAACAAGGGAAUUUAUGGAUGAUUUAAGAUGAGGUUGUGUACCCUGUUACGGUCAACCCUGUUCCAUCACCCUUGUAACAAGGGAAUUUAUGGAUGAUUUAAGAUGAGGUUGUGUACCCUGUUACGGUCAACCCUGUUCCAUCACCCUUGUAACAAGGGAAUUUAUGGAUGAUUUAAGAUGAGGUUGUGUACCCUGUUACGGUCAACCCUGUUCCAUC